ensembl:lncRNA
GGUGCUGUGCUCUUCUUUCUGUUCCCCGUCACGCCAAGAUCACACACACACACACACACACACACACACACACACACACACACACACACACACACACACUCACACAGCAGUGCUUGUGUGUGUAGAGACAGAGUAAAAGUACCAGAGAUUUGACUUCAUUACAAACGGGCAGAGAUUACGAUUGGAUAAUUCAGCAGGCAGUUCGUUGGAGUUUUGAAUUGUGUGUUGCAGUUCUCUACUGAAGGCAAACCUGAGGUACUAUGCAACGUGUUUAUGAAAUGGAUUCAGUUCGUAGGAAGUGUUUAUGAUGCGCAUAACUAAAUGUUGUCUCCCUUAAAACCUGUUUUUGGGUGUGGUUGAAAGUACUUCUCCUUCUGUCAAAUCAAACAGGGUUAUGAUACCUAUGACGUGUUCAACACAAGAUCUUUAUUUGUCGAAGCAUAUUCCAUGACAUAAUUUACUGUAUAGGCAGUAAACCUUCCUGCCUAUUUGAAUAGUUCUGUCAAACACUGCACUCCUAUUUACAUGGGGGAUUUGAUGUGGCUCUCAGUUCCCUAAUAUUACACCAUAUUCGUUGUUCGCAUUUCAGAUCACGUUACCUUGAACAGGCCUUUGAAUGUGUUAUUAAGCAACUGCAUACAGCUCCCUCCAGCCUAAGGUCAAAGUCCUAGCCCACACUCCUGUCAAUUAAAUAUUAUGCCACCGGGUACUGUGGAACGUUUAAUAAGAAAAAAAAGAAAGAAAGAUUAAGCAAGAAACCAUGAAAUGGGAAAGACAGGACGUUUGCUCAUUCAUCAGAUAUGUAGCGCGAGAUGGAUACUUGAUCUACUUCUUUUGUCUACUCUUCCUUAAACAAAAGUCGUGCUGGAACUGACUGGUGUAACUCCUCUUGUUGCAUUUGUGCAGGGAGGCAUCGCUGUAGGGUUUUAUUACCUCUGGCUUUCAGAGAGUGCUUUCAUGACUAGUGCUCAGGCGGCUUCUUCCUCUUUUACUUCUGUCUGUUAAUAGUUCUCCUAUGUAGCACGCACUGAUGACAGGCAGUAAAAGUCCCUGCUCUACAGUGGAUAAUGCGUGAGAAUGCAUGGCUCUUAAAGAAUGUGAACUGAUCGUCACUGUCUGCCGAUUCACACUGAACCUUAUGCACUUAUCUAGAUUGUCUGAUUACAAACACAUACAGAGAGAGAGAGACUGCAAGCAAGCAGGCCAUCGGUCAGAACUAAAGAAGUGACGUUCAUUCAUCUUUUAUGGCGGUAACACACAACUAAAUAGCUCAAAUAAGGAAUUAACGUUCGUUCAUCUUUGAUGACGGUAACACACAAACUUUUGAUUUAAUUCCUCCCUAUUCCUCUCUGUUUCCACGUUCAUUUCCAUACGGCUCUGCAUAUCAUUCAGUCCACUGGUGCAGCUGGGAAUGUGUCAGAGCCUUGAUAAACAAAUGGGCAGGUAAACAAAUGUUUGUUUGAUUGUGGCCACUCACAUGAAAGGCUUGAACACAAGUAUUGUCCUGAUAGGCCAUUACAUAACUUUUUCUUGGGUUAUUUAUUAAUUGAUUCGUUGGGGUCAUUGAUUGUUGAUUAUGAAUCAGAACUGCACAGAGCAUACUGGUCUACUGGAGAGCCGGUGGCUCAGCUUCCUCCAUUAUUUAGCUCAGUAAACAGGACAUUAUGUAGCUCAGUAAACAGGACAUUAUUUAGCUCAGUAAACAGGAUAUUAUUUAGUAAACAGGACAUUAUUUAGCUCAGUAAACAGGACAUUAUUUAGCUCAGUAAACAGGACAUUAUUUAGUAAACAGGACAUUAUUUAGCUCAGUAAACAGGACAUUAUUUAGCUCAGUAAACAGGACAUUAUUUAGUAAACAGGACAUUAUUUAGCUCAGUAAACAGGACAUUAUGUAGCUCAGUAAACAGGACAUUAUUUAGUAAACAGGACAUUAUUUAGCUCAGUAAACAGGACAUUAUUUAGUAAACAGGACAUUAUUUAGCUCAGUAAACAGGACAUUAUUUAGCUCAGUAAACAGGAUUCUUAGUUCAUAUAUAUAUAUAAGACAAAAGAACCUUCCAGAUUCAUUCUUCUGAGUGGAAAUUAUUUUACGGUACGAGUCAAGUUUUCAUUUUCAAAGGUCGUUUUAUUGACUUUUUCCCAUCACAUUACAAACAAGCAAUUGAUUCAAUUGUCCAUCCCAUAAAUACCCCUAUCCCCCUGAAGGCACCUUUUCUUUGGGACGUUUUAACCUUCUACAUGAACAGAUAGCACUGCCAUAUACAUGAACAGAUAGCACUGCCACAUACAUGAACAGAUAGCACUGCCACACACAUGAACAGAUAGCACUGCCACACACAUGAACAGAUAGCACUGCCACACACAU